rnacentral:rRNA from 1 species
GAUGAACGCUGGCGGCGUGCCUAAUACAUGCAAGUCGAGCGAACGGACGAGAAGCUUGCUUCUCUGAUGUUAGCGGCGGACGGGUGAGUAACACGAGGAUAACCUACCUAUAAGACUGGGAUAACUUCGGGAAACCGGAGCUAAUACCGGAUAAUAUUUUGAACCGCAUGGUUCAAUAGUGAAAGACGGUCUUGCUGUCACUUAUAGAUGGAUCCGCGCUGCAUUAGCUAGUUGGUAAGGUAACGGCUUACCAAGGCAACGAUGCAUAGCCGACCUGAGAGGGUGAUCGGCCACACUGGAACUGAGACACGGUCCAGACUCCUACGGGAGGCAGCAGUAGGGAAUCUUCCGCAAUGGGCGAAAGCCUGACGGAGCAACGCCGCGUGAGUGAUGAAGGUCUUCGGAUCGUAAAACUCUGUUAUUAGGGAAGAACAUAUGUGUAAGUAACUGUGCACAUCUUGACGGUACCUAAUCAGAAAGCCACGGCUAACUACGUG